AUGGGAGAUCAGGAACUCUGGAGGUUUUCCAGGAUAUUGUCGAUACCAGAAGAAAUAAUCGUUGCCGUCUGCUGUUUUGGAGAAGAAACAGCUCUGUCAGAGUUACCUGCUGUGGUGUGAGUCUGAAGACCAACCAGUGCAGAGACAGUACAGGAAAUGAUUGGACUAGCUGUUCUGGUUAAUGAGGAGAAGGAGGAAGCUGAGCUCUGGAUGGUUCCUGGAGGCAGAACCAUGUUGGACUGGGCCAACAUGGUUUUACCUGAAGCCCAUUACCUGUUUUCUCUACAUGGAAGCACCACUUCUUAUUGACACAAUGCUGGAACACAGAGCACAAGGAGAGCGCCGCCUACUGGAGCAUGGCGCCCCCUGGUGGAGAGGAGAGGUGGAGUUCACCAGAGAGGAGACGAGGCUCCAGCAGCUGGUCAGUGGGUCAGAUGUUCAGGAGGAACUGGUUUUACUGGUUUUACUGGAUACUGUUGACAGCAGAAAUGAUCUCCUGCUGUAUUCUCAACUGGACUCUUCAAACUGGACUUCAGUGAGGUUUUCACAAUUAUCCUGUAAAGGAAGUGAAAAAUGUUUCUAAAGCUUGACCAAAUUGGUGCUUUUUAUUCCAGGGAUUUCUAACAAAGUAAUCAUUGAAGACAGAUAUCCUUCCUGUUUUAAGAAUGAUUGUGACAACAGAGGAAACGUGACCCAGAAAUAUUGUGACAUUUUCCUCAAACUUUCAGUUCUGCCAGCAUGGCUUCUUGAAUUCAGCUAACAGUGGGAAUUAUUUUGUUUUCUGAUCUGUUUC